rnacentral:rRNA from 1 species
AUGCAGUCGCACGGACCUUUCGGGGUGAGUGGCGGACGGGUGAGUAUCGCGUAGGGAUCUAUCCAUGGGUGGGGGAUAACAUCGGGAAACUGGUGCUAAUACCGCAUGAUACCUGAGGGUCAAAGGCGCAAGUCGCCUGUGGAGGAGCCUGCGUUCGAUUAGCUUGUUGGUGGGGUAAAGGCCUACCAAGGCGAUGAUCGAUAGCUGGUCUGAGAGGAUGAUCAGCCACACUGGGACUGAGACACGGCCCAGACUCCUACGGGAGGCAGCAGUGGGGAAUAUUGGACAAUGGGCGAAAGCCUGAUCCAGCAAUGCCGCGUGUGUGAAGAAGGUCUUCGGAUUGUAAAGCACUUUCGACGGGGACGAUGAUGACGGUACCCGUAGAAGAAGCCCCGGCUAACUUCGUGCCAGCAGCCGCGGUAAUACGAAGGGGGCUAGCGUUGCUCGGAAUGACUGGGCGUAAAGGGCGCGUAGGCGGUUUACACAGUCAGAUGUGAAAUUCCAGGGCUUAACCUUGGGGCUGCAUUUGAUACGUGUAGACUAGAGUGUGAGAGAGGGUUGUGGAAUUCCCAGUGUAGAGGUGAAAUUCGUAGAUAUUGGGAAGAACACCGGUGGCGAAGGCGGCAACCUGGCUCAUUACUGACGCUGAG